CGUUAAAACACGGGUUUCCGUAUGAUCACCGAAGUUAAACAACGACUAGCCUAAUCAGUACCUAGAUGGGUGACUACUUGGGAAUACCAGGUACUGUAAG